AGAGCGAACGCUGGCGGCAGGCUUAACACAUGCAAGUCGAGCGGGCGUAGCAAUACGUCAGCGGCAGACGGGUGAGUAACGCGUGGGAACGUACCUUUUGGUUCGGAACAACCCAGGGAAACUUGGGCUAAUACCGGAUAAGCCCUUACGGGGAAAGAUUUAUCGCCGAAAGAUCGGCCCGCGUCUGAUUAGCUAGUUGGUGGGGUAAUGGCCCACCAAGGCGACGAUCAGUAGCUGGUCUGAGAGGAUGAUCAGCCACAUUGGGACUGAGACACGGCCCAAACUCCUACGGGAGGCAGCAGUGGGGAAUAUUGGACAAUGGGCGCAAGCCUGAUCCAGCCAUGCCGCGUGAGUGAUGAAGGCCCUAGGGUUGUAAAGCUCUUUGUGCGGGAAGAUAAUGACGGUACCGCAAGAAUAACGCCCGGCUAACUUCGCGCCAGCAGCCGC
rnacentral:rRNA from 1 species